GCAAUGCUUGUGGAGGAUGUCCGGGCCAAGAGAAGUGUUUUUGUGGAGAGGGCACCCAAGAGUAGAAAAGCUUUCCAAUGGUUAGAGUGCUGUUUCCGACCUCCAUGAGCCAUGAGGUAUCGUCGAGCUCUAGACGUUAAAUUAAGCACUUGUUGGGAGGUAACCCAACCGUUUUCUUUGUUUUGUUUCUCUUUCUUUUAGUUUCGUUUUGUUUCUUUUUGUUUCUUUGUUUUGUUUUGGGGUUUUAGUGCAGUGUUGAGCUUGGAAGAUGCGGGAACUCGCGCUUUGUUCAUACCACCACCAUGGAGCAUGUUUUUCUGUGAGUAGUGACACACAUAUCAUCAUCCCUCCAAACUUAUUUUCGAACUUAUGUUCUGUAAUAAGUUUGGGGGAGGGGGGUGAGAGUAGAUAUGUGUAUCACUUUUAUCUUUUU
rnacentral:lncRNA from 1 species